rnacentral:rRNA from 1 species
AUUGAACGCUGGCGGCAUGCCUUACACAUGCAAGUCGAACGGCAGCGGACCUUCGGGUGCCGGCGAGUGGCGAACGGGUGAGUAAUAUAUCGGAACGUACCUUUCAGUGGGGGAUAACGUAGCGAAAGUUACGCUAAUACCGCAUAUUCUGUGAGCAGGAAAGCAGGGGAUCGCAAGACCUUGCGCUGAUUGAGCGGCCGAUAUCAGAUUAGCUAGUUGGUGAGGUAAAGGCUCACCAAGGCGACGAUCUGUAGCGGGUCUGAGAGGAUGAUCCGCCACACUGGAACUGAGACACGGUCCAGACUCCUACGGGAGGCAGCAGUGGGGAAUUUUGGACAAUGGGCGCAAGCCUGAUCCAGCCAUGCCGCGUGAGUGAAGAAGGCCUCGGUUGUAAGACGUCUUUCGGUCCGGGUACGGAAAGUACGCACAGGUUAAUAACCCUCGUGUGGAUGACGGUACCGGAACGUAAGAAGACACCGGC